AUUGAACGCUGGCGGAAUGCUUUACACAUGCAAGUCGAGCGGCAGCGCGGGGCAACCUGGCGGCGAGCGGCGAACGGGUGAGUAAUGCAUCGGAACGUACCCCGUCGUGGGGAAGUAACUACCCGAAAGGGUAGCUAAUACCGCAUACGACCUGAGGGUGAAAGCGGGGGACCGGAAAGGCCUCGCGCGAUGGGAGCGGCCGAUGCCGGAUUAGCUAGUUGGUAGGGUAAAGGCCUACCAAGGCGACGAUCCGUAGCUGGUCUGAGAGGACGACCAGCCACACUGGAACUGAGACACGGUCCAGACUCCUACGGGAGGCAGCAGUGGGGAAUUUUGGACAAUGGGCGAAAGCCUGAUCCAGCCAUUCCGCGUGAGUGAAGAAGGCC
rnacentral:rRNA from 1 species